CGCAGCGCGGCCGGGGGAGGGGGGCGCGGGGACGGCGGCGCCGGGGCAGGCCGGGAAGGAGGGAAGCGGGGCCUCGCGCGGGGAGCGGCGCCUUCACCGCUGGCCGCGCCGCGCCGCGCCGCGCCGCUCCGCUCCGCGGGGCCGCGCCGCCUCCGCCGCGGGCCGGGAGCCGCCGCCGCGGCCGGGCGGCAGCGCCGGGGGCCAGGGCGCCUCUCGCGGAGGAGGCGCCGCGCCGGCCCCGGCGAGGUGAGGCAGCCUCUCACGGCGUAAAGCGCUGAAGGUGUCGCGUGCUUUAGCGUUGGAAGGGCUUAAUGAAGCAGCUCAGACGUCUGUGCAGUGGAGUAGAAGAGAUGUCUGUGAUCCAGUCUGUGUGCCCAGGAACAGCUACAGACUCGCUGUUUUAACUGCUUGUACUUCAGCUAACAGGAACUGGAAUUCAUAUGAUACUGUUAUCCUCAUACAGAAACAAAGUUUCUUCCAGCAAAAUUUUUGAUCCUAUUAAAUGUUUUGGACCUGCUCCUCAGAGUGCUGUACUUGGGUUCCAGAGGGUUUAAAGUGCUGCCUAUAUCCUGGGAGAAAGAUGGCAAUUGACACCUCGAUUUCUGGCAUGGUGAAAUUCUCCAUAAUAUGGAUGGAGCUCCAAGUUGUCAGAUACAGAAUUUCUUGAGAGGCUGGUGUUGAACAGUGAAAUAGACUCUGCUGAGAAAGGUACCUGCAAGUUUUGUAGUCGUGGUUCUGCUGAGAUUUUUCCCAGUAAGCAGGGUAAGCACCCCUCAAUUUCUUGCUUACUAGAUUUGAACACUGAAUUAAAUCAUCUUCAGAGGAAAAUUUAGUCUCCUUCCCUCCAUUUUGGGGGGAGGUAGGAGGGAAGGAAAGUAAAGUAAGAAGGAGGGAGGAAAAUAAGCGGUAGAGAGAACAUUCUUGAAUGAUUUUUUUUUUUUUUUUUUUCCCUUAACAAAUUAAAUUUCUACAAGCUUCAGAUUUCACAUAUGUCUGUGAGGUACUCAUAUUUUAAACCGAAACAAAGAUUUAUUCUCUGUUUUCUAACAACCUAAUUGAUCUGAGCUGUCUGUAAUGGAAUAACAGUUGCAUAAGCUUUGGAAGUUCAUAUCCCAUUUGUAUGCUAAUAUCUCUUCAAGUCAGAUUUCUCUUCGGGGCUGGGCAUAAAAACAAAGUACUGCAAUCACUCGCUGAUCAAAAAUGACUUAAGAAUAUGUAUUUUCUCAGUUUAACCUUGAGCAGAAUAUUUUUGGCAUCACAACAGAUUCAUUUGCAUUGACUUGUGAGUGCUUUUAAAGUAUAGCCUUUUAUAAUUAAAGUUUUUAACGUUUGGUUAUUUAUGCAGAGCUUAUAGGAAUCUUGUUUGUUUGUAAUUUUGCAUUUGAAAUUUUGAGGAAAUGGGACAAUUGCAAAGAUUUGCUUGGUCUUUGAUAGGAUAGCAGCUCUAGAGUUGAUAGGAUAUCAGCUGUAGGUUUGAGAAACCCAGUAUUUUCUUAAACUUCCUCACACAGUUGUUAUAUGUUAAUUAGUUUACAUCUCUACUGUGCUUUGAAGCCGUAAAGUGCUGCUGUUCUUUAAUUAACAACAUGGUAGAGAUCACCAUAUUUAAAUUGAUCCAGACAAUUCAUAAUACAUUUAAAACCAUUCUUUCAAUAAGACCUGCUGCCAUAGUCUGUAUUGUGCUUUUAAUUACUCCAUUAUUCUAUUGAAUGCCAAAAUCUGGGGUUUGCAUCUUGUCUCUAAAGAAUGAAGACAUUCAAAUGUCUUCCAGGCAUUCCAGGCAUUUUUGAGCAAUAGUUUUACCAGCCAAAAACUUCCCCAUUGACAUCAGAGCAACUUCAGACAAGACAGAAAUGCAGUAAUUGGCUAUUGCAUUCACUGUCUCUCCGACCUGGCAGUCACAGUGGUAGUUACUAUACUUGGCUUUUGAAAUCAGAAGAGAGGAAAGUAGAGGAGGAUUCAAGUAUGUGGAAGACUUCCAAAUAUGUGUACAUGUUCUGAACAUACAUAUUUCUUGUUCCUCUGUUCUCAAAGGAUGGAAAUUUUGUUUGCUGGAUGCCUUUACUAAGAGUAUCAUAAACUGAGCCCAACAAAAUGAUCUUAUUACAGCAAGAUCUUACUCUGUUAAUUGUUCCCUUACCUGCUUUGUCCCACCUAACUUCAGGCACUUAAGCUAGAUAGCUAAUUCAGGAGCCCACUCACUAGUCCAUGGAAGACAGGAGAAAGAGCUGAAUCUCCGUUUGGAGGAGUUUGUUCCUUUCUGUAACUGUAAAAAGAAACCCAGAAUAUUAGACAUUUUACAAAUUAUCUUAAUUGAUUAAGUGCCUAAAUUUGAGUAGUAUGAAUUCACACCUUUGUAACAGAAACUGGCUUAGUGCUGCGAUCAGUGUGUGCACGCACACAUGUGUGCGCGCAUGUGUAUGAAUAUGUCAGUGUCUGUCUUCUGCUCUCCAAGUAACUAUGUUUCCAUUUCAUUAAAAAUUUCCAUUUGAUUUUGAUCAGUGGUUUGAAAAAUUAAAGAUAGGGAAUGAAAGUAAGAAUAAAGUAUUUUGGUUACCCCUUAACAACUUUUGCAAUAUUAUGAUCCAUUAUAAAAUGAUUUGUACAGUUCAGUUACGUGUGUAGCCACUGCUACAGCGAUGGUGAUGUGGUUGGAGCUACUUAUCAUAGUAUAAAUACAAAAGGAAAGUUGGUCAUAGUAAGAUGAUCCUUAUGUUUUAAAGGUGCAGUUUAAAAAAUAAAAGACAUCCAAAAAAGUGAUUUUCUCUUGAUGCAAGUGUCCUUCCUGUGUACUGAAUCACAACUCGAAAUGGCAGUAGAUUUAACAUUUAAAAAAAGUUUGAUGGACAUAGCCCAAGAUAAUUUGUUCUCUUGUCCAGUUUGCUAAGUUUUCCGUGAAGAUUAUUAUCAGAUCGAAUUUUACAUGUUCUUGAACAAUCAGUCACUUAACCUUAUGUGCAGUACUGUGUUUUUAGACAACGUACCAGAAAGUAAGAGAUAAUUCAGAGCUUACAAAGUGAGAAACAUAUGACCUUUCUGUUAUAAUUAAUGUUAACAAUGCUAGUUCUUAGUACUUAAAUUAUGUAGAAAAUGAUAGUUGUCUCAUAUGCUGUUUAAGGUUUUCAUAAAACACCAAUUUCUGUACCUUUUCACGAACCUUUGUUUAUACUGCUCUACCAAAUAAGAUUUUCAAGCUUUAGGUUUUUAAAAGCUAUUUCAAUUUUUAUCCCUAAGUUUUCUAGUUUGUUUGAAGACAGUUGCAUCAUUCAAACACAAAAAAGAGGGAGCAGUUAAUUAUGCUGUUAGGAGCCCUAGCUUAUGUCAUGGGAGGCUUUUGGUGUUCUUUUGACAUAUUGUCCUCUAGCAGGGGGAAAAGCUAAUUUAAAGGCUGGUUGAUGAAGAAUUGGAAGCAGAGGGAACAAAUCAAAGUUUAUGAUAAACAGCAAAGGUACUUUUUUACUCAAAAUGUAGUGUUUUCUUCAAUCUUGUAAAGAUAAAAUGUUCUUCCCUUUUCAAAAUAUGUGAUGUCUCUAAGAAGGACUGAAACUGUUGGCCACCAGUGUUUCAUGGGUUAAUGCAGGUUGUUUAGAUAUAGAUCGAGGCAAAAUAUGUAUGUUUAUGAAAAGCUAUGAAAAAGAUCAGUUGGUCAUAUUAGCUGCUUUUUCAAGAGAUUACUCCCUAAAUACAUUGUCAUAUUUUUAACAUGAGCCUUAAAACAAGAAUUUGAUGAGCUGAAUACUGCUUUAGCUAUCGGGAUAUAUUGUCUGAACACAAAAGUCUGGACUUGCUUGACUUGUAUUUCUUUAUUUCUAUCAGAACAUAAAGAAGACCUAAGCAGGGACAUCCCUUAAAGAUGCUAUGUUUGAUUUUUCUUGUAAACUGGUUUGCAAGAUGUGAGACCCAAAUGUGAGAGCCAGUUUUAUUUUGAAGUCUAGCUGGUGGUUUCAGGCAAGCAGAUGUUAAAUAGCUCCAUCUCUCUGAAAUAUGUCAACGUUUUGUAUGCUGCUAUUUCCAUGGAAACUGGUAUUGGCUCAGCAAAAAUGGCAUAGGGAUUUCAAAACUACAUUUAAAAAAAUAAAAUCAAGAUAGUUAGUCAUUCAUAUUUUUACUCCUAAAUGCUGAUAUUGGUCACGCUGAACAGAACCCAUCUUUUGAGUAUAUUAGGUGUAGUCAUGGGAAUUGGCAGGUCAGUGAUUAAUUUUUUUUAAUUAUUUUUUUUUAAAAGUGAGCUAGUGUUUCAUAGAACUUCAUUAGAAAAACAUGCAUUUAUUUAACUUUUUUUCCAGCACAUCAUUGACUUCUAAGUAGUUGAAGGCAGUCACAUUUUCAUUACUUCUUGAGACCUUCCCCUUGCUCAAAAAAGGUGAAAUACACAUUGAAUGAGAACUAGAAACAAGUUUAAGCUUUUUGGCAAACUUACACAAUUCAUUUUUUAUAUAUAAAGUGGCCCAGAAAACACUUAAAAGUGAUCACGUGUGAGUUUGGAAUCUUCAGUAGCAUGUAAAAAAGAAGCCCUAUUUCUUUGGGCUAGUUUGAUUGCCUUUGGGGACGAUUGCUUUAAGAAUAACCUGCUUACAGCCAAGAUCGUUACCCCAGUUCAGCAUUGCUAUGGCACUGAAAAACAGGCUUUAACUAGCAGGACUUACUACUUCCCAGCUAUUGCCCAAAGGAUAACUCUCAUGCAUGACAUUAAUUUGAGGACAGGGACUUCCAGGAAUUCCUGAAAAUAUGAGGAUGCUUCUAAUUGUAGUCUUGCAUCUUCAACUUCGUUAUCCAGAAAUUCAAAUUUAUUUUCUAACUCAAGUAGUGAUUAGAUUAUGCCUUUUUCAAUAUAAAUAAAAUAUCCUAAGUCCUCUAGACCAGUGGUUCCCAGCUGGUAAAGAACUAUGUUCAAAGUGAGGCACAGAGUGGGAGAGGAUGUGCUGCAUGUGUGAAGCAAUUGAAGAGAAAGCCUGGUUCAAGGAGAUGGUAAGAAAAGCCACCAACACGCUGUGGAGCUGUGCUGUAAGUCAAGGCUGUGCGGGAGGCACCCAGGAUUAGUGUAGUCCGGAACAGACUGUUGACAUUGCAUGAGGAGGAGGGCAAUAAAGCAAAACUGCAGCUCUGGAAGAGAAAUGGGACUGAGAAGGCAAGGGGCUAACAAGUAGGGUGAGGAAACAGUAGCAGCAGCAUGUGUAUGUGAAGGAGACAGCUUAGAAAAACAGCUGUAAUGAAGCCACCUACUGAAAAAAAAGAAACCCAGGAACAUUGCUCUAAAAAAUGUUGGCAGUUUUCCAAAAGAACGAAGACUUUUUUUCACUAAAGUGGAAUUUGUUUGACAGAACAAUUCCCUUGAAAUAAAAUUCUUUAAACAUUGGAUCACUAAAUAAUGAAGGGUAAAGUGCUUAGUGACCUCAAUUAGAUUCCAUAAAAGGAUACCCACUAAAGAUCAAAAUGUGUUUCUAUAUAGGCUAUACUUAAAUAUUUUCCCAAAAUACAGGGGAAGACAAGUCUACUAUUCAUGCUUACAGCUUUCUAAGUCUCCUAAUGCUUUUCAGAUAGGAAAAGGGAAUUAGCAGUGUUUGCCUAUUCUCAAAACUAACUGAAUGUUAUCAGUGCACCAGCCAAACCAGAAAUGAAACUUUCUUCUAAAUAGGAGACUCUGCUCUCUUUCAUAACUCUACAUCUUUCACCUUCCAUGUCUAAGGAUUUCUUGGUUGAUUAUGAAAAAUAAAGCUGUGAAUAUCAAUUUCUCUCAGAACAUAGGAGCACAAGAAUAAGUACACUGGGUCAGACCAAAGGCCUGCCUAGGCUGGUAUCUUGCUCUUUUUCUAACCAUCUUCAAAUAGUAUGAAAAAUGCAGCUGAUUUUUUUUUUUAUUCUCCUGUCCAAUCGAUUUUAGCUAUAAGUAAUGUGGUCGCAGACUUAGCAAUGUUUGCCAGGAAAAAAGAAAUGCAGAGUACUUCUGUGUUUCAGCUACGGGAGUACCUGUAUGCCAAGAAAUUUUGUCUGUUGCAGACAUACCGUUAAUGCCGCCUUCUAAGCAUUGUUCAAACUACUUGAAGAUUACUCUAACUCUACAAUUUUUAUCAUUAGCUUUCCAUGGUCUCUUUCAGACCAAUUUAUGGCAAAAAUGAGAGUAUUGCAAUUAAAGGUAUUAGUGGGUUUAGCAAGGCAUUGUUAGGCCUAAGAAUCUUAACAUAGGGCUAUUCCUAAAUAGAAAACAAGAGAUGGCCUGUAGCAUACAAAAAAAAAUUAUAUGCAUUAGGAAAUUGAUUAUGUAUAUAGAGUAUUAUAUAAGUGAAUGUAUAUAUGUAUGUAAUAUACAUGUAAUAUACAGUUCUGUGUAUGAGUAUUAAAUCCAACUAUUUCCCAACAUCAGUUAUCUAAUGACUUUGUUACUCUCUAAACAUGCCAGAUAAGAUCAUUCCAUUCUAUAUACAAAAGUAACCAGAUUACAGGGAAAAUCAGGACAGAAAAAAAAUAUUAAAGGAGCUGUUAUAUUAUUGUAGAUAUCACAGCCAAGAUGGUACACAUGCUAAAAUGAUUCCUGAGCACUAACAGAUUAUUCUGCUUUUUAUAUAGAUGUGGGGUUUUCAUUCGUUGCUUUAAAAAGCAUCAUACUUAGGCAAAUUCAAAGAAAUACAGAGAGCUUCAAUAUUCUAGAAGGUAACAAGCUAAAAUAAAAUUCUGAUUACAGAGUUCCCCAUCAAAUUACUGGGAAAGGAGGAUAGUGCCAGCGUAAGAGUCAGGGUGUGACUACACAACUGUUGAAAACUAGUUCAGGUGUAAACAUCAGCACCUUCUUGUUAGUGUACUUUCUUCAUGGUAAGUCAAGUUAAUUUAUUACUUCAUAACAAACAGUUGCUGACCUCGGUGCAAGAGUAUGUAAGCGGCAGUUACUGAAAGGUAGCACAUUUGCUUGUACACUUACCCUCGUGCACCCUCACAGCAGCUUCUCCUUUGUAUGCUGACUGAGUCCUGCAGGCUACAAGGGGUGGAAAGUAGCAAGUCCAGCACAGCCACUACAAAAGUGACAACUUGCCUGUGAUUAGCCACAGAAGCUUUUAUACAGUGCCAAAGGUUAGACAGUGACAGAGUUAAGGAAGAUCUGCGUACAGCAAGUGAAACAUUGCCAAGUUAGUCUUACAGAGGAAGGUUACAGAUCAAUAACAGGAGCUCAGGAUUUGUUGCAUAUGUUGGUGUGCGUAUUCACAUGAAUGCACAGGUACUGUGAGGAUCUGAAGCAUAGACUUUUGGCUUAAAAAUACCCAUGGAGUGAAUGCUUGUACUGUGCUGCAUGCAACCCUAAGCUUGUAAGGAAGGCAUGCCUUGAGGUCCUCAGCUCACUCAGUGCCUUGGGAGUUGGCCUUUAUGAAGCAGCUUUAACCAUGCUGCUGCUAUGUCAAAAUGCCUCAACUUUUGUGAAGACUUAAGUUAAUCCAAUUUUUGAAAGUCAAAAUCACUUUGACUUAUGAUUUUGCUAUAAAAGAAAGCAAAGCCAGAAGCCUCACAAACUUUAAACAACUUAAUUUAUUAGAACCCAAUAAAUGUUGCUUUCAUUAGAAGGAGGAAGUUAACACCUAAUUCAGGGUGAAAUUACAUUUUAAGACAAACAAAAAUUUGCAGUGCUUAAAUACAGUAUUUACUGAUGACUUUUUUAGAAUUCUGGUACAGGUUUAUAUUUACUGUGUGGUUAGUAUGGUUUCUAAUUCUGAGCAGGUUCAGCAUUUUAUUUUCAACUGGAAAUAUAUCACACCAUGCAAAGGACUACCCCCCAUCUGCCUCCCAGAAGUACAUAAUGAAGAGUUUUGGCUUAUGCAUAGAAAGCUUAAGCCUUAAACAAAAAACCCUCAAAAUGCAUAAGCAGAAUCUGAAGUUUUUAUUUCAUGAAGAAAUUGUAUAUUUAAGACUCAUUGGUAAGAGAUCCCUGUAGCCAAAAAUUGUUUGAGCUUUGAAAUUUAUUUAAAAGGUUUACUGAAUUGCAUCAAGUGAACCUUAACUGUUAUUUUAAAUCUGAACCUGAGUACAGAAAUAAUAAAAGUACAAUCACCCAUGUCACAGGCCCUAUAAAUUAUUUUCACAGUAGCCCUUUUGGAAAAGCAGGUUGGGUUAAUCAUCUUAAUUUCCACUACUGUAGAUCAACAGAAUCAUUUCCAUAAAAUUCAGAAAGUGCUUAAACACAGAAUACAAAAAAUAUCUAACUUACAAACUCUUUCGAGAUAGAAAAGCAAAAUGUGGAACAUGCCAGAUGUCUGAAGAGAUUGUAUCAAAGUACUGUAAAUUAACUUGAGUGACUGUGAUGGAUGUGAUGUUCUUGAAACAGUAGAACAGUGCAUACAACAUUGUAUUUACCAACGGCAAGGGUUGUUCCUUCCAUUAAAGUUCUUAAAAAGCUGUA